rnacentral:rRNA from 1 species
UACGUAGGGUGCAAGCGUUGUCCGGAAUUAUUGGGCGUAAAGAGCUCGUAGGCGGUUUGUCGCGUCGAAUGUGAAAACCCGGGGCUCAACCCCGGGCUUGCGGUCGAUACGGGCAGGCUGGAGUUCGGUAGGGGAGACUGGAAUUCCUGGUGUAGCGGUGAAAUGCGCAGAUAUCAGGAGGAACACCGGUGGCGAAGGCGGGUCUCUGGGCCGAUACUGACGCUGAGGAGCGAAAGCGUGGGGAGCGAACAGG